UACGGAGGGAGCUAGCGUUGUUCGGAAUUACUGGGCGUAAAGCGCACGUAGGCGGCUUUGUAAGUUAGAGGUGAAAGCCCGGGGCUCAACUCCGGAACUGCCUUUAAGACUGCAUCGCUUGAAUCCGGGAGAGGUGAGUGGAAUUCCGAGUGUAGAGGUGAAAUUCGUAGAUAUUCGGAAGAACACCAGUGGCGAAGGCGGCUCACUGGCCCGUUACCGACGCUCAGGCGCGACAGCGUGGGGAGCAAACAGG
rnacentral:rRNA from 1 species